rnacentral:rRNA from 1 species
UACGAAGGGGGGCUAGCGUUGUUCGGAUUUACUGGGCGUAAAGCGCACGUAGGCGGAUUGGUCAGUUAGGGGUGAAAUCCCAGAGCUCAACUCUGGAACUGCCUUUAAUACUGCCAAUCUAGAGUCCGGAAGAGGUAAGUGGAACUCCUAGUGUAGAGGUGGAAUUCGUAGAUAUUAGGAAGAACACCAGUGGCGAAGGCGGCUUACUGGUCCGGUACUGACGCUGAGGUGCGAAAGCGUGGGGAGCAAACAGGG